GACGGAGGGUGCAAGCGUUAAUCGGAAUUACUGGGCGUAAAGCGCACGCAGGUGGCUGAGUCAGUCGAUUGUGAAAGCCCUGGGCUUAACCUGGGAAUUGCAGUCGAUACUACUUAGCUCGAGUAUGGGAGGAGGCAGUGGAAUUCCCGGUGUAGCGGUGAAAUGCGUAGAUAUCGGGAGGAACAUCAGUGGCGAAGGCGGCUGCCUGGCCCAAUACUGACACUCAGGUGCGACAGCGUGGGGAGCAACAGGG
rnacentral:rRNA from 1 species